UUUUGCCAUUUCUCAAUUUUGUUUCCUCGAACGACUUCUUGUUAUACAUGGCCAUUGGUGUACAAGAGGAUAGUGCAGAUGAUCUGUUACUUCUUCUACAAGAACAUUGCCUUUGGCCUCACAAUCUUUUAUUUUGAGGCUUAUACUGGUUUCUCUGGACAAUCAGUGUUUGACGAUUGGUACAUGUUAUUGUUCAAUGUCAUUCUAAGAACAGAAUCAAACUCCUGAAAACAAAAACCUUCAUAUCAAUUACUUCUCAGCCAUUUGAUUCAUCCUGUGUUUAUCUUUGUUUUUUUCUCCCUCUUUUUGUUUAUUUCUGUCCACACAUUUUGAUAAAGACAUUUAGAAUGUUAUCUGCAAUAGAUCCAAAAACUAAGAUGCUCUUUGAAGGCUUCUCCAAUUCUUGGAAUCAUCUGAGAGGCAACAUAAUAAUAAUAAACUCUGCCUUAUUGGUUUGAUCGGUCGAUAGAAAUACUCGCGUUUAAGUGCCUCAGGCAAUUCAAUCAUUCACCAACAUGCUCACAAUGGAGGCACUACUUGUGCUCAUUGCUGCAUCAAUUCUUUUCCUCCUCGUCUUCCAAACUUCUCGGAGAAACUCAAAGCCAAAGCCCAGUAAUAUUCCGCCCGGAGACAUGGGUUGGCCUUUUGUCGGAGAAACUCUCAUGUUCAUGAAGCCUUCUUUGUCAACCACUGUUGGGGAUUUCAUGGAGCAACAUAUGGCAAGAUUCGGGAAGAUAUUUGUGUCCAACCUCUUUGGCAAACCCAUAGUCGUGUCGGCUGAGCCUGAGUUGAAUCAGUUUCUGUUCAAGAAUGAUACAAAGAUGUUUGAGCCGGGCUGGCCUAAAUCUUUUUUAGAAAUUGUCGGGAAAUCAUCCAUAUCUUUCUUGGUUGGAGAUGCACACAAGCAUAUGAGAUCGAUCAUUGUUGAAUUCUUGAGCACUGAGAAGAUUCGAAACUUAUUCUUGCAAGAUAUGGAGAACAUGGCUUCCUUCAUUAUGAGUUCAUGGAAGGACGGCACUACAAUAUCUUCUUUGGAUGAAGCGACCAAGUUUUCGUUUUACAUCAUGGUGAAGAACAUCUUGAGCAUCGGACCAGAGGAUCAUCUGAUCGAGAGAUUGCGAAAAGAGUACAACACAUUCACAAGAGGCCUUGUUUCUUUUCCACUCAAAAUACCCGGUACAAGAUAUUGGAAGGGUCUAAAGGUAGGCACUAAAUUACUCAACAUACUUAUCGAACUACCAACGACAAUUAUGAUAAACUUUGUGGCUUCAACUACAUGAAUUUGACUCCCUUUGUGGUUGAAAUGUUCUAAAUUUCUUGCUCUGAGAAAGUCGAGGAGAAUUCUCCUUGAAAUUCUAUUCCAAGAGAUAGAAGAGAGGAGAAUAGCGAGCGGCGACAAAGGAGGAUCAAAGAAGAAGGAUGACUUCCUUGGUUGGGUGAUCAAGAACACAGACUACUCUGUUGAGAAGAUUGGCGACAUGAUGCUGCAUACUCUUUUUGCAGCUCAUGAUACUUCCUCCAGAGCCAUCUGCUUGAUGAUCUAUUUCCUUGACAACUGCCCAAAAGCCAUUGCAGAACUGAAGGAAGAAUUUGCUGGUGUGAUCACAUCAAAGCAACAAAGCGGAGGGAGUAAACUGACCUACGAGGACUACAAAUCAAUGAACUUCACUCAGUCUGUAAGUUCACUUAGAAGCCACAUAGUACUUGUCGUAUUCAAAGCAGUGGAGAGAUAAGGCUCGGAGAUGUUAUUGUUUAGGUUAUCAGUGAGACAUUAAGGCUCGGAAACAUUGUCAGCCACAUCCAGAGGAAGGUGUCCACAGACAUCCACUUCAAAGGUUUUCUGAUUCCAAAGGGAUACCAUUUCGCUGCCCACUUCAGUGCCGUGCACUUGGACCCGGAGCUGUUCGAAGACCCUCACCGGUUCGAUCCAUGGAGGUGGCUAAUUGGGUCUUCUUGUGGGCUGAAGAGGAGGAGCAGCAGUGAGUUCAUGCCGUUUGGUGGGGGAGCACGGCACUGCCCUGGGGCAGAGAUUGCGAGGCUGGAGAUGGCAGUCUUCCUGCACCACCUCGUCAGGAACUAUGACUGGGCUGUGGCUGAACCUGACCGCCCCAUGAAGGUGCCCUACGUUGACUUCUAUAAAGGUCUACCAAUCAGAGUUCGUAGUGUGACUAAUUGACGACAUGAAUGCCAAUUCAUGUGGUGGAAGCCUAUGGAAGAUAAAG